rnacentral:rRNA from 1 species
UACGUAGGGUGCAAGCGUUGUCCGGAAUUAUUGGGCGUAAAGGGCGCGUAGGCGGUGCGGUAAGUCACCUGUGAAAUCUCCUGGCUCAACUGGGAGCUUGCAGGCGAAACUGCCGUGCUGGAGUGUGGGAGAGGUGCGUGGAAUUCCCGGUGUAGCGGUGAAAUGCGCAGAUAUCAGGAAGAACACCUAUGGCGAAAGCAGCUCUCUGGGACGGUACUGACGCUGAGACGCGAAAGCGUGGGGAGCGAACAGG